rnacentral:rRNA from 1 species
GACGAACGCUGGCGGCGUGCCUAAUACAUGCAAGUCGAGCGAACCCGGGGUGCUUGCACCCUGAGGGUUAGCGGCGGACGGGUGAGUAACACGUGGGGAACCUGCCUUGCUGUCUGGGAUAACACCGGGAAACCGGUGCUAAUACCGGAUGUCCCCUUUCCGGCACCUGCCGGAGAGGGAAAAGGCGGCUUUGAGCCGCCGCAGCAAGAGGGGCCCGCGGCGCAUUAGUUAGUUGGCAGGGUAACGGCCUCCCAAGGCGACGAUGCGUAGCCGACCUGAGAGGGUGGUCGGCCACACUGGGACUGAGACACGGCCAAGACUCCUACGGGGGGCAGCAGUAGGGAAUCAUCCGCAAUGGACGAAAGUCUGACGGGGCAACGCCGCGUGAGUGAUGAAGGUUUUCGGAUCGUAAAGCUCUGUUGUGAGGGAAGAAUAGGAUGGGGAGGAAAUGCCCGAUCUGUGACGGUACCGCACCAGAAAGCCCCGGCUAACUACGUGCCAGCCGCCGCAGUAA